AAAAUAAUCCUACCCUUUGUGAAUUUUGUUUGUUUGAAUAAUUUUUUUUUUAAAAAAUUAUUGGAGUCUUUCCCUUUAGAGUUUGCUUUUGAGUUUGUAAAAGAAUUCGAAAACAUCUAAAGGGGAUGGUCAAUAAUUUUUUUGAAAAAAGACAUUUUUUAAAAUUAAACUUUUUGUAUUCAUUUGUCUAAAAAUUAUUUUUAUAAUAUAAAAACAACUUUUGACAAUGGAUCUCUUGGUUCUCGCAACGAUGAAGAACGCAGCAAAAUGCGAUAAGUAGUGUGAAUUGCAGAAUACGUGAAUCAUCGAAUCUUUGAACGCAUAUUGCACUUUUUUAGUUUACUAAAAAGUAUGUCUGUUGAGUAUCAGUAAAAUAUUCUCAUAAAAAUCAUUGGUAUUUUUAUGGUUAUGAGUGUUUUACAACGAUACAAGUUGUUUCACUUUAAAUUUUUUUUUAAUAUUGAAAUUUUUCUAAUUUUAAUAAUUAAAUUGGAUAAAAUUUUCCCGUCAAAAGGAAUAACCUAAACAAUUUUAAAUGAUUAAUUUUAGCAAAAUUUCGUAAAAAAGGAAAAUUUUUAUUAAAAUAACUUGAUCUCAAAUCAGAUAAGAGUACCCGCUGAACUUAAGCAUAUCAAUAAGCGGAGGAAAAGAAACUAACAAGGAUUCCCUUAGUAACGGCGAGUGAAGCGGGAAGAGCUCAAAUUUGAAAUCUUCAAGGUUUUACCUUGACGAAUUGUAGUUUAAAGAAGUGUUUCUGCUGAAGUUUUGGUAAAAGUUCUUUGGAAUAGGACAUCAUAGAGGGUGAGAAUCCCGUAUUUGACCAUUAUUUUCAGCUUUGUGAUACACUUUCAAAGAGUCGGAUUGUUUGGGAAUGCAGUCCAAAAUGGGUGGUAAAUUUCAUCUAAAGCUAAAUAUUGGCGAGAGACCGAUAGCGAACAAGUACCGUGAGGGAAAGAUGAAAAGAACUUUGAAAAGAGAGUUAAACAGUACGUGAAAUUGUCAAAAGGGAAGCGUUUGACACCAGUGUUGUUUUCUCGAAAAUCAAUUAAAAAUGGCUCGAUUUUGUAUUGCUGAGACCUUAAAAGCUCACUGUACAUUUUUCGUGUCUUUUUUAAUGCACUUUUCGUUUAACAAGUCAACAUCAGUUUCUUUUGUUGUAAAAGGGUCAUUGGAAGGUGGCUUCCUUUUCGGAGAAAGUGUUUAUAGCCUUUGGCCUCUGCAAUCGAAGAGACUGAGGUCUGCAGCGUAGACUCUUCGGGGUUAGAUGCAUUUGUGCUAAGUUAUAGCUUUUAUAGACAACUUGUUGACUAUAUUAGUCUUGUAGCUUACUCGCUUAUGCUAUUU
rnacentral:misc_RNA from 1 species